CUCCACCCAUCUAAGCUGAAGUAGAAGGCCACACCUGAGGUUUCUGGGGAAAGCGCUUCUGAGGAGCUGCUGCAGAUAUAAGCCCACUUUUCUCCCAUCUAGCUCGCUUCAAGCAGACAUUAACCACCAGGAGGAGCAUGACUGACCUCAGUAGCUUUGUUGACUUUAAUGUUGCUCUUUGUGUUUAAGUUUUGUGCUUUUGCAUCAGAGUAUCACUAUGAUACAGAAACAUUUACCCUACACAAUGCAGGUUUCAUUACAAGAAUAAGACGAGGGUGUAGCUCUGAACUCUCAGUGGCAUUAUCUGUGAAGCUUCGAAGCUGAAGAGGGAAAAAUGCUAAAACACAUUCAGCU